AUUGAACGCUGGCGGCAGGCUUAACACAUGCAAGUCGAGCGAGCGGCGGACGGGUGAGUAAUGUAUGGGAAACUGCCUGAUGGAGGGGGAUAACUACUGGAAACGGUAGCUAAUACCGCAUACCAUCAGAUGUGCCCAGAUGGGAUUAGCUAGUAGGUUGGGGAAUGGCUCCCCUAGGCGACGAUCCCUAGCUGGUAGGAGAGGAGGAAAAGCCAAACUGGAACGGAGACACGGUCCGGCCGCCUACGGGAGGCAGCAGUGGGGAAUAUUGCACAAUGGGCGCAAGCCUGAUGCAGCCAUGCCGCGUGUGUGAAGAAGGCCUUCGGGUUGUAAAGCACUUUCAGCGAGGAGGCGUUACUCGCAGAAGAAGCACCGGCUAACUCCGUGUCAGCAGCCGCGGUAAUUC
rnacentral:rRNA from 1 species